AGGGAGAUUAACUCCAGGCAGAAGGAC
rnacentral:piRNA from 1 species